rnacentral:lncRNA from 1 species
UAAAUCCAUCAAUUUCUUUUGAAUUCCGAUGAUGAUGAUCCACCGGAAUCAUACUUAUACACACUCUGUAAAUUCCGAUGAUAAUGAUCCAAUCCAAGUGGAGAGACGUAUUGAAAUAAAAGCAACCCAAGGCGACGAUGAUCCGUGAGGAUAAGAUUGGAAAGUAAUUUUCGAUUAUCAUCGUUUUGUUUCGUUUAAUUGAUUGAAUGAGAGAUCAGAUCUGAUCUCCUCUGUUCUUCUUCUUCUUCUUCUUCAAUCUAAAAUCAAUAUCGAGAUUUCACAGGAUAUUGAAUCUAGGCCACGGAGACGAGCGAAUUCAAAAGUGAAGAGAGGAAUCGAAUCAAUCUGAGGUAUUCGUAAUAGUCCUCUGUCUUCUUUGGAUCUGAAUUUGUUAUCUAGACUUAUUAUUAGAGAAUAGAGAUGACGAUGAUGUUUAGUGUCUAGAGAAUGAAUACCUAAUUUGUAAAUUUGGUACAGAUCACAUAGUUUGUUGUGGAUGCUGAAACUUGUGAUAAGCGUAGGUAGUGAUUGGUUUGAUGCAUCACAUGACAACCUCGUAGAGUUGCAGAGCCAUGUUCGUGUGUGCUGAAAAAUUAUUGGGGAAGAAGAAGCUGGUUAAGCAUAUAUGGUCGUCUCAUUUAGAUUCUCUUCUUUAUUGUUUAUGUACAUGUGUCUAAUCAUAUGCUACUUAAUAUGACUAGGUACUUGACUGAUGCUAUGUUCCUGAGAGAAGCAAUGAAUCAAAGUGUUGAUAGUUUGAGUCCAUAGUCUCUGCUCACCGGAGAAGAGGUUUUACAGGCUUUAUACAGAGAAGAGUUUCAGUAAUGAUUGCAGCCGCAGACCUAUACUCAAAUAUUGAGAUCAAACCUUGCAAACACAGUUCUG